UGGGGAAUAUUGGACAAUGGGCGAAAGCCUGAUCCAGCCAUGCCGCGUGUGUGAAGAAGGUCUUCGGAUUGUAAAGCACUUUAAGUUGGGAGGAAGGGCAUUAACCUAAUACGUUAGUGUUUUGACGUUACCGACAGAAUAAGCACCGGCUAACUCUGUGCCAGCAGCCGCGGUAAUACAGAGGGUGCAAGCGUUAAUCGGAAAUACUGGGCGUAAAGCGCGCGUAGGUGGUUUGUUAAGUUGGAUGUGAAAUCCCCGGGCUCAACCUGGGAACUGCAUUCAAAACUGACUGACUAGAGUAUGGUAGAGGGUGGUGGAAUUUCCUGUGUAGCGGUGAAAUGCGUAGAUAUAGGAAGGAACACCAGUGGCGAAGGCGACCACCUGGACUAAUACUGACACUGAGGUGCGAAAGCGUGGGGAGCAAACA
rnacentral:rRNA from 1 species